rnacentral:rRNA from 1 species
AUUGAACGCUGGCGGCAGGCCUAACACAUGCAAGUCGAGGGACCGGCGCACGGGUGAGUAACACGUAUCCCACCUGCCCUUUACUCGGGGAUAGCCUUUCGAAAGAAAGAUUAAUACCCGAUAUAAAGGAUGGGGGUGCGUUACAUUAGGUUGUUGGUGAGGUAACGGCCCACCAAGCCUUCGAUGGAUAGGCGUUCGGAGAGGAAGGUCCACUGCAAUGGAGCUGCGGCCCGGUCCACACUCGUACGGGAGGCAGCAGUGUGGAGUAUUGGUCAAUGGGCGUUAGCCUGAACCAGCCAAGUAGCGGGAAGAAUGAAGGCUUAUGGGUCGUAAACUUCUGUUAUAUAAGAAUAUGUAUUAAAUGAAUAAGGAUCGGCUAACUCCGUGCCAGCAGCCGCGGUAAUAC